GCACCCUUGGCUCAGCUGGAUAGAGCGUCUGACUACGGAUCAGAAGGUCGGGAGUUCGAAUCUCUCAGGGUGCG
rnacentral:tRNA from 2 species